rnacentral:rRNA from 1 species
UACGUAGGGGGCAAGCGUUGUCCGGAUUUAUUGGGCGUAAAGAGCGUGUAGGCGGCCUGGAAGGUCAGCUGUGAAAACUCGAGGCUCAACCUCGAGACGUCGGUUGAAACCACCUGGCUAGAGUCCGGAAGAGGAGAGUGGAAUUCCCGGUGUAGCGGUGAAAUGCGCAGAUAUCGGGAGGAACACCGGUGGCGAAGGCGGUUCUCUGGGCCUUACCUGACGCUGAGGAGCGAAAGCGUGGGGAGCGAACAGG